UCCCUGGAGGACUAGUGGUUAGGCCUCGGCACUCUGACCGCCACGCUCCAGGUUCGACUCCCGGCCAGGGAA